rnacentral:rRNA from 1 species
UCGGUGUGUGCAAGGAGUUCUUCCUCGUUGUCGCAGAAGCCAGAGCCUAAACCGCCGAGGGCGUAGGCUGCACGCAGAAUUACAGGGAAACCUAAUUCGUGAGCUGCUUUCUGUACCUCUUCGACAGUAGAACAUGCCUCACUCUUGAUGGUCUUCACGCCAAUCUCAUCUAGACGCUUCACAAACAGGUCACGGUCUUCGGUGUCAAUGAUGGCCUGAACGGGGGUGCCUAACACCUUAACACCAUAUUUCUCUAAAAUGCCCUUUUCGUAGAGCUCCACACCACAGUUCAGUGCUGUCUGACCACCAAAACUCAAAAGGAUGCCGUCAGGACGUUCUUUCUCGAUGACGCGUUCUACGAAUUCUGGGGUUACGGGUUGGAAAUACACGGUGUCAGCCACAUCUUUACUGGUCUGCACCGUAGAGAUAUUGGGGUUGAUCAGUAUUGAGUGAAUGCCCUCCUCUUUCAGCGCCUUCAAUGCCUGUGCACCGCUAUAGUCGAACUCACCGGCCUGACCAAUUUUCAGGGCACCAGAGCCUAACAAUAAUACAGUUUUUAUCUCUUUCUUCUCCAUCAUCCUAACAUCUUUACAAAUUCAUCAAACAAAAACUCUGUGUCCACGGGGCCUGAGCAAGCCUCGGGGUGGAACUGCGCCGACAUCCAGGGGUUCGUCUUGUGACGGAUGCCCUCGUUAGAACCAUCGUUCAUAUUGACGAAGAGCGGUUCCCAGUCAGAGGGUAGGGUGGAGUCAUCUACCGCAUAACCGUGGUUCUGCGAGGUGAUGAAGCAACGUGUAGUGCCCACCUGCUGAACAGGUUGGUUAUGUGAACGGUGACCGUACUUCAGUUUGUAGGUAUUUGCACCUGCGGCACGUGCCAAUAGUUGGUUGCCGAGACAGAUGCCCAUACAGGGCUUCACCUUUGGAUUAUUGAGGAACGUGCGGAUGUGUGCCACUGUCUUCUCGCAGCGCUCAGGGUCGCCAGGACCGUUAGCGAGGAAGAGUCCGUCAAACUCCAACUGGUUGAAGUCGUAGUCCCAAGGCACACGCACCACCUCAAUGCCACGACGGAUGAGACAGCGAAUGAUAUUUGCCUUGACGCCGCAAUCGACGAGGACGACACGUUUUAGAGGUGAGAGGUCAGAGGUCAGAGGUGAGAGAAUACUAUCGGCUUUGUAAGUGAUAACCUCCUUGCACACACCGA